CGGGAAUAAAAAACGUUCAGUUUAGUUUUAAAUCCCUCUGUGGUGCAACAGGCAUGGCACAUUAGACUUGUUGGCAGAAAUUAGCUGAAAUGUAAAAAUUAUGAAAAAUGCAGCAUUUAUCUUUGAAAAGAGUAGAAACUACUGGAGACAGAAACUGGACCUGCAGUAGAUGAGUACGUGUUAAACAGCAGGGCAAUAGAAACGUCCGCUCAGAGUGCUGAGUAUUGAAAGAUAACCAAUAAAAAUGUUGGAUAUCUUUUUUAUUUCUUAGAUCAAAGACGUGGAACAGAAAGAUGGUAUAGAAACAAUGUGGAAAAUCUGGUCAACCAACCCUGGGUCACAUUUUUUAUGACAAAGCCAGCAGAGAGAAAAUAACAAAGAACUAAACACCAGCUACACGUUUGCAUUUCAUAUCCAGAGGAUCAAGUUAAACUUGUUCCACAAAAGUACAUUUCUAUCCUAUCCUAUCAUACUCAGUGAAAGAUGACUGUACCUGAUCAUGAUUGGCUGCAUAUCAAAUACAGAGAAGGUAUAAAUAAUGAGGAAAAGGCUGGAGACACACCAACAUCUCUUGGAUGCUGCUUGCAGAACCACACCUGAACCAUUCAACUGGGAAACAGCUGGACUCGGCCUGUACGUCUUUGACUCAAGUCACUCUGUUUGACACGUAAACUGCUGCAAAACAUGGCCAACAUCAUGCUGCAGGAAUUUGAAUACACUGAUGGUGCUUCAAAAGCACGAAAACAAAAAGAUCGGGCCCAACAAAUGAAAGAGAACCCAGAAACUCUUUAUACAUGUGAAAACGUU